rnacentral:rRNA from 1 species
CACGUAGGGCGCGAGCGUUGUCCGGAAUUAUUGGGCGUAAAGAGCUCGUAGGCGGCCUGUUGCGUCCGCUGUGAAAGCCCGGGGCUAACCCCGGGUCGGCAGUGGAUACGGGCAGGCUAGAGGUAGGUAGGGGAGAAUGGAAUUCCCGGUGUAGCGGUGAAAUGCGCAGAUAUCGGGAGGAACACCGGUGGCGAAGGCGGUUCUCUGGGCCUUACCUGACGCUGAGGAGCGAAAGCGUGGGGGAGCGAACAGG